CCUACGGGAGGCAGCAGUGGGGAAUUUUGGACAAUGGGCGCAAGCCUGAUCCAGCAAUGCCGCGUGCAGGAUGAAGGCCUUCGGGUUGUAAACUGCUUUUGUACGGAACGAAACGGUUCUCUUUAAUACAGGGGGCUAAUGACGGUACCGUAAGAAUAAGCACCGGCUAACUACGUGCCAGCAGCCGCGGUAAUACGUAGGGUGCGAGCGUUAAUCGGAAUUACUGGGCGUAAAGCGUGCGCAGGCGGUUAUAUAAGACAGAUGUGAAAUCCCCGGGCUCAACCUGGGACCUGCAUUUGUGACUGUAUAGCUAGAGUACGGUAGAGGGGGAUGGAAUUCCGCGUGUAGCAGUGAAAUGCGUAGAUAUGCGGAGGAACACCGAUGGCGAAGGCAAUCCCCUGGACCUGUACUGACGCUCAUGCACGAAAGCGUGGGGAGCAAACAGGAUUAGAUACCCUGGUAGUCCACGCCCUAAACGAUGUCAACUGGUUGUUGGGUCUUCACUGACUCAGUAACGAAGCUAACGCGUGAAGUUGACCGCCUGGGGGAGGACGGCCGCGAGUAGUAACGUACAAGUAGAGUUAGACGCGUGAGACGUAGACGACGACGACGACGAGGGAGGAGG
rnacentral:rRNA from 1 species